rnacentral:rRNA from 1 species
AUUGAACGCUGGCGGCAUGCUUUACACAUGCAAGUCGAACGGCAGCGCGGGCUUCGGCCUGGCGGCGAGUGGCGAACGGGUGAGUAAUGCAUCGGAACGUGCCCAGUAGUGGGGGAUAGCCCGGCGAAAGCCGGAUUAAUACCGCAUACGACCUGAGGGUGAAAGCGGGGGACCGAAAGGCCUCGCGCUAUUGGAGCGGCCGAUGUCGGAUUAGCUAGUUGGUGGGGUAAAGGCUUACCAAGGCGACGAUCCGUAGCUGGUCUGAGAGGACGACCAGCCACACGGGGACUGAGACACGGCCCAGACUCCUACGGGAGGCAGCAGUGGGAAUUUUGGACAAUGGGGGCAACCCUGAUCCAGCCAUGCCGCGUGCGGGAAGAAGGCCUUCGGGUUGUAAACCGCUUUUGUUCGGGAAGAAAUCCUCUGGGCUAAUACCCCGGGGGGAUGACGGUACCGGAAGAAUAAGCACCGGCUAACUACGUG